GUUGACUGCUACAGUAAUUUUUCGCUAAAAUUUUUCGCUCCCUCUCAUAUUUUUGGCUGAAAACUAAAUUCCCUCUCUUCUCUCUCGCAAUACCCACAGUCAGCCUAAACCCUCUAUGGCUAUACCCAUAGUCACAGUCACUAUCUCAUCCCUCUCACCUUCAGCAUCUCUCUUCUUCAUUGAUCUCUUCUCUGUCCUCUAUCUCUACCAUCAUCUAUUCCUAAACCCUAAAAGAGAGAGCCAUAGACGUCCUCCUCCUCGUCGAGAAGAGCCAUCAGAGUCCCUUCGUUUACCUCUGUUGUCGUUGUCCUCCACGUGAGAUUAUUUCAGUUAGGGUUUCAAUUUAUUGGGGAUAGAUCAGUCGCCGGUGACUCUGUAACUGUUCGUGAAACAAUUUAUGUGUCUUCUUCUCAAAUCAACAGCGCCACGUCUUUUGAAGUCUCUGGUAAUCUCACUCUCAGUGGCUCGCUCACCCCUCGCUCAGUCUCUCUUCCUCCAUUGGUUCUAUUGCUUGCAAAAGGGACUGCUGUUCAAAAAUCAUUUUCUUGUUCCAUUAUUUGCUCUACAAGCACCAGCUACUGUAAUCUUGUGGUUUAACUCCUUGGCAUGUACAAUCACAACAACGUAACCUUCAUCGGCCUUGACCUCACUUCCCUUCUUCUUACUUUAGUCUUCAGUCCUUCUCCUUUUUUUUUUUCUGUGUUCAUGUUUAUAGAUCUUUUUAUUUUUAUUUUUUAUGUCUUCAUGUUUAUAUAACUAAUUUUUCAUUUUGAUGCAUGUCUCUUCUUGAUUCUAAGCGUUUUGGACAGAGUUGGGGUUCUACUCCGAUGCUGUGGCUGGAGCUAGAGAGGCAUUAAUAUGUGGUGUAUCAUCUCUGUACAUGUCAUUGAAUUGGAAGAAAGAUGUAAGCUAUGAAAGUGAUAUGAAGGAUGCAGUUGGUGUAUCCUUGCCAUUAAUAUAUGCAGUUGUAAAAAGCAUCCAGGAGGGAGUUUGCCCCUAAAGUUGCUUACUGAACAUUGAGAUUCGUAGUUCUCCUUUGACAAAUAAGGUUCUUAGCAGCAUCGCUUUAUGGUUAUUUAUAGCUGCAAAGGCUCCCAAAGACAAACAUCCAUAUGGUCACUCUUGAUUUGUACCUACACGGUACUCCAUUGAUCUCACAUUAUGCCAUGUAGCUGGAGCCGUGAGGGAAAGAAGAGAGAGUGGCAUGAGUGAGAGGAGUUUCUACGACCAAAAUUGGAUUACCUCGUAUGUAUGAUAUAGCCAUGUAUUUAUAGUGCUCUUGCCUUCUAGGGUUUGAAGAAUAAUCCCUAUUUAAUUAGAAUUAUUCUUACCCAAAAAUAGGAAAUUGUAAUUAAUCAAGGAGAUUUGACGGAAGUUUCAUUCUUGCUUUAGGGAGAUAUUCCCAUCUUAAAUCAAUUAGUAACUAAUUGACCUAGGGAAUUUCCCUUUUCCACA